rnacentral:rRNA from 1 species
AUGAUCCUUUUAUGGCCCUAUUUGUACGCAACUCAGAUUGACGCCGCCACAAAGCGCAAAGCCCCGUCCAAGUGCAGCUGCUAUUUACCACCGAUCCGAGGUCUCAUGGCAGGUCAGGUCGAUGGCGGCGGCGGCGGCGGCUACCUCUGUGCGGGGAUGCCCGGCUCCGUGUCGUCAGUGCUAUUCUUUGCAUGGCAGACGUCUGCGUCUCGUGAACAGAUGGUGAUGCCACCGCAUCUUCAACUCUUUGUCCAGAUCGUCGACAUCAAUACGAUGCCUCCAGUUCGGUUGGAAAGAAUGGACCAAAGCAUGAUGAAGACUAAUUGGAAAGCAAGAACACGUGCAUGUGUUGUCCAGCAAGAUUAUGACCAGAUUGUAGGCGAAUUUGUUCUCCAGCAAGAUCAAGCUCGACCUGUUUAA